rnacentral:snRNA from 1 species
UCCGCGUGUUGUUUCGGUA